GGGCUCCAUGCACUUGGAAGGAGAAGGCUUUAGAAGUAGAUCAACAAAGUAGUGAACAGCCUUCAGAUAUUGGACCUUCCUUGGUUCAAGAGAGUGAGAGAAGCUCUUGGUGGAAAUUCUGGUCAAAAAAGACUGAGAGUCAAGAGAAUGAAAUCACUCCCAUCACUCCAAUAGAAGUCAUCGGAGUAGUUCGCACAAGUGAG
rnacentral:misc_RNA from 1 species